rnacentral:rRNA from 1 species
GGGUGAGGAAGGCCUUCGGGUUGUAAAGCCCUGUCCGGAGUUAAGAAAUGUAAGUGCGCUAAUAUCGCAUUUAUUUGACGAAGGCUCCAAAGGAGGUCACGGCUAACUCUGUGCCAGCAGCCGCGGUAAUACAGAGGUGGCAAGCGUUGUUCGGAAUUAUUGGGCGUAAAGAGCACGUAGGUGGGUUUGUAAGUCAGAUGUGAAAGCCUUCUGUUCAACGGAAGAAUUGCAUCUGAAACUGCGAGUCUUGAGUGUAGGAGGGGAGAAUGGAACUUCUGGUGGAGCGGUGAAAUGCGUAGAUAUCAGAAGGAACGCCGGCGGCGAAAGCGACUCUCUGGCCUAUUACUGACACUCAGUGUGCGAAAGCUAGGGGAGCAAACGGGAUUAGAUACCCCGGUAGUCCUAGCCGUAAACGAUGGGCACUAAGUAGAGGGGUUU